AAUCACGUGAUGAGAAAAAAAAAACUGCAACAAUAUGAUGGAUUCGUCCAUGAUUCAUAAUUUUUUAUCUAAUUCUCUGAUGAUU